rnacentral:rRNA from 1 species
CGGCAAUGGGGGAAACCCUGACCGAGCGACGCCGCGUGUGGGAUGAAGGCCCUUGGGUUGUAAACCACUGUCAGAGGGGAUGAAAUGCCGGAAAGUUAUCUCUCCGGUUUGACAUAGCCUCAGAGGAAGCACGGGCUAAGUUCGUGCCAGCAGCCGCGGUAAGACGAACUGUGCAAACGUUAUUCGGAAUCACUGGGCUUGAAGAGUGCGUAGGCGGUUUCGUAAGUAGGGUGUGAAAGCCCCCGGCUCAACCGGGGAAUUGCGUCCUAAACUGCGAGGCUGGAGUGAGGUAGGGGUGUGUGGAACUUCCAGUGGAGCGGUGAAAUGUGUUGAUAUUGGAAGGAACGCCGGUGGCGAAAGCGACACACUGGACCUUGUCUGACGCUGAGGCACGAGAGCCAGGGGAGCAAACGGGAUUAGAUACCCCCGUAGU